AUUGAACGCUGGCGGCAUACCUUACACAUGCAAGUCGAACGGCAGCACGGGUGCUUGCACCUGGUGGCGAGUGGCGAACGGGUGAGUAAUACAUCGGAACAUGUCCUGUAGUGGGGGAUAGCCCGGCGAAAGCCGGAUUAAUACCGCAUACGAUCUACGGAUGAAAGCGGGGGACCUUCGGGCCUCGCGCUAUAGGGUUGGCCGAUGGCUGAUUAGCUAGUUGGUGGGGUAAAGGCCUACCAAGGCGACGAUCAGUAGCUGGUCUGAGAGGACGACCAGCCACACUGGGACUGAGACACGGCCCAGACUCCUACGGGAGGCAGCAGUGGGGAAUUUUGGACAAUGGGCGAAAGCCUGAUCCAGCAAUGCCGCGUGUGUGAAGAAGGCCUUCGGGUUGUAAAGCACUUUUGUCCGGAAAGAAAUCCUUGGCCCUAAUACGGUCGGGGGAUGACGGUACCGGAAGAAUAAGCACCGGCUAACUACGUG
rnacentral:rRNA from 1 species